AACGAACGCUGGCGGCAUGCCUAACACAUGCAAGUCGAACGAGACCUUCGGGUCUAGUGGCGCAAGGGUGCGUAACGCGUGGGAACCUGCCCUUAGGUUCGGAAUAACUCCCCGAAAGGGGUGCUAAUACCGGAUAAUGUCUUCGGACCAAAGAUUUAUCGCCUUUGGAUGGGCCCGCGUUGGAUUAGCUAGUUGGUAGGGUAAAAGCCUACCAAGGCGACGAUCCAUAGCUGGUCUGAGAGGAUGAUCAGCCACACUGGGACUGAGACACGGCCCAGACUCCUACGGGAGGCAGCAGUGGGGAAUAUUGGACAAUGGGCGAAAGCCUGAUCCAGCAAUGCCGCGUGAGUGAUGAAGGCCUGAGGGUUGUAAAGCUCUGUUACCCGGGAUGAUAAUGACAGUACCGGGAGAAUAAGCUCCGGCUAACUCCGUG
rnacentral:rRNA from 1 species